ACAAUAAAGUAUUAACCUCACAUUAUACUAUUAUAUCCACCUAUUUGUGAGGCUAACAAAUAUGAAAAGCAAACUUGAUAUCUGUGCAUGUUACACGUAUAAAGUUAGGCUUCGUCCACUAGUACAGGAAGGGCUUUAGCCCCGGGCCGUAAGUGCCUUUAGUCCCGGCUACGGAACCGGGACUAAGGUUUCGGAACUAAAUGUCCCACCUUUAGUCCCGGUUGGUAACAGCAACCGGGACUAAAAGGUGCGCCAGGGUGUGCCACCUGGCCUCCACUUUUAGUCCCUGUUGUUGCUACCAACCGGGACUAAAGACUUUUUCUUUUUUAUUUUUCUUUUCAUUUGGUUUUCCAGUUAGGGUUUACAAUUAUGUUAUUGUUAUUUUCGAAUGCGUAUUGUUUGUUUUGCUGGUAGUUUAUGGAACGCGCACCUAUAAUUUAUAUAAUUUAAAGGAUUACAUAUAAAUAUACUAUAAAACACUAUAUAUAUAUAUAAAUAAUAUGUAUCUAUAGGUCCAUAAUAUAAUAUUUACACAUAUGCUUCACGGACAAAAUAUUUACAACACAAUUUAUCUCCGCCACUCAAGCAUCGUACAAAUGAUCAUCGUUAUUUGGUUUCAUCUGCUCUUGAGGGUUGAAGUAGCACUCGCCGCCGGGAUCCAGGACUUGGUCGUUAAGAAAUCCUGCGAUUGUCUCCUGAAUUCCUUUUAGGCGCACCGCAUCCAACACCUGCUCCUUCAGCCACAUCUCCUUUAAUAGACAUUAAAGAAAAAAGUUAGAGGUAUGAAUAGUAUUUAUUAAAUAGCAACAAAUAAAUGAAAUAAACUUAUUAUAUAUACAUGUUACAUACUUUUAGGUGCUCAAGAUUAGUUCUUUUGGCAUACACCGUCAUAAACUCGCACACAUAGUAGCCACACAAAUUGUUGUCCGGUGUCUGCCGUAGAACCCACUGAAGUAAGAUGGGCUUUGAAAGUGCUACAUUCAACUCUGGACGGUGUUUCUGCACGAACCCAGCCCAAACCCUAGCAAUAAAACGAUCAUUAUUAAUUAUCCAUUACCAAGUUAAAAGAGCAGAAUUUAAUAUAUAGAGAUCGGAGUUACCCUUGGAUAAUAUCUAUCAUUUCUUGGUAAUCGUCCUUUGGUUUUCUCAAUGAGUCAUAGAUUACCAAUUGAUAUUGCCAGAGAUCAAUGACAAUUAGUAUCCAAUGAAAGCUGCAUUUGUGUGCAUAUGUAGGCAAAAUUAGUAUAUAUCUUCAUAUUGAUCUGAUUAAUUAGUUAAAUAGAAUGUACACACGAUAACGACACUUACUUAAAGUUGUAGGGAAAGAGUAUAUAUCUUUUAUCUUUUUGGUUGAUCAAGAACCUCCGUAGAUUUCUCUUCGUUUGAGUUCUCUAUAAAACAUACGGGGUCUUGUGGUCUUUGAAUACAACAUUUGGAUCCACAAAUCCAAUCUCCUUGUCAUUUCUAACUCUGAGGUCCCUCAUCAUGUUUCUGCAUAUGUAUAGCGGGUUUCUGUAAUUAGUUAUAUAUAUACAUGAUAAGUUACAGAGACAUUAUUGAAAGGAAGAAUCAGUUACAGACAGAAGCAACUCUUUAGAGAUUUGUCAAGAGCCCUAGGUGGCGUUGGAGCCCUAGGUGGCGGUGUUGGAGCCUGAGGUGGC
rnacentral:lncRNA from 1 species